rnacentral:rRNA from 1 species
ACGGGUGAGUAACGCGUGGGUAACCUGCCUCAUACAGGGGGAUAACAGUUGGAAACGGCUGCUAAAACCGCAUAAGCAUACAUUGCCGCAUGGCAGAGUGUGAAAAUAUUAAUAGGUAUGAGAUGGGCCCGCGUCUGAUUAGCUAGUUGGUAAGGUAACGGCUUACCAAGGCGACGAUCAGUAGCCGGCUUGAGAGAGUGACCGGCCACAUUGGGACUGAGACACGGCCCAAACUCCUACGGGAGGCAGCAGUGGGGAAUAUUGCACAAUGGGGGAAACCCUGAUGCAGCGACGCCGCGUGAGUGAAGAAGUAUUUCGGUAUGUAAAGCUCUAUCAGCAGGGAAGAAAAUGACGGUACCUGACUAAGAAGCCCCGGCUAACUACGUGCCAGCAGCCGCGGUAAUACGUAGGGGGCAAGCGUUAUCCGGAUUUACUGGGUGUAAAGGGAGCGUAGGUGGUUCGGUAAGUCAGAUGUGAAAGCCCGGGGCUCAACCCCGGGACUGCAUUUGAAACUAUCGAACUAGAGUGCAGGAGAGGUAAGUGGAAUUCCUAGU